rnacentral:rRNA from 1 species
CACGAAGUUAGCCGGGGCUUAUUCUCCUGGUACCGUCAUGAUCUUCCCAGGUAAAAGAGCUUUACAACCCUAAGGCCUUCAUCACUCACGCGGCAUGGCUGGAUCAGGCUUGCGCCCAUUGUCCAAUAUUCCCCACUGCUGCCUCCCGUAGGAGUUUGGGCCGUGUCUCAGUCCCAAUGUGGCUGGUCAUCCUCUCAGACCAGCUACCGAUCGAUGCCUUGGUGAGCCAUUACCUCACCAACAAGCUAAUCGGACGCGGGCCGAUCCUUCGGCAGUAAACCUUUCCCCAAAAGGGCGUAUCCGGUAUUAGCUCAAGUUUCCCUGAGUUAUUCCGAACCAAAGGGUACGUUCCCACGUGUUACUCACCCGUCUGCCACUCCCCUUGCGGGGCGUUCGACUUGCAUGUGUUAAGCCUGCCGCCAGCGUUCGUUCUGAGCCAGGAUCAAACUCU